AUGAGGGGAGGUGCUGGGGUUCACGUGACUGAGAGGCAGCAGGAAGGAGGGGAGAGAGAGGUCGGUGAACCAGAAUGCCUGCAAAAGUCCUGGGGUGCACUCUGAUUGGACCAUCUUGGGUGACUCAGCCUCUUCUGAACCCUAUCACUGUGGCCAAGGGAUGCAAAGCGCCGAUUGGUCAAGGUCACAUCUCCGCCCCUGGAGUUGGUGUCGGGGAACCACAGGAUUCCCCACAGGGAUGUGGGAACUGCAAUGGAAGGGGGAAGAGAGAACCAGAUCAGGGAGACGUGGUAACUAAAAGCCGAGUGGUGCCCUGGGAUGAAGGAGGAUCUUACUGAGAAAAAAGCAUGAUGGAAUCCAAUUAAAGUCCGGAAUGUGGUUAACAGUGCUUCCCAAUGUCGGUACCUUACUUGUGUUAAAUGUACCACAAGAUGGAAGAGACUAACAAUGGGGGAAACUGGGUAAGAUGGACAUGGUAUCUCUGUACCAUCUUUGCAACUUUUCUAUACAUUUUAAAUUAUGCCCAAAUUAAGGUUAUUUUUUAAAAAGCCAGUUUCUCAUGGUGCAGGGUCGCUUUUACUGCGUGGAGGACACCACGUCUGGGAUUGUAAAUAAGCACUCAUCUGCCUCUAGGUGUCAUUGGCAUCACUGGUUCAGCGCAGGGGCGUGGGAAGAGCCGAGUGCUGGCACAGCUCCUCCGGGAUCCCACGACCUCAGUGUGCACGGAUGAGACGGCACCCGUGACGCACUGAGCAGUGAGUUGGGCACAUAACUAGUGCCCAGUGGAGGUUAGCAAUCGCUGCUCCGCCCACGCCUGGUGCCUGCAGACGUCAUCGUGUGCCUGCCCUCUCUCUGGGCCUCCCGUGUCCCUGGGCCACGCCUCCCUGUGUCCGGGAGGUGAGGUGAGUUGUUUAGCUGCUGAGUGGAGCUUUUCCAAAGAGCUGGGAACCCCAACCCCGAGGCCCCGGCGUCUUGGGUCCAGGUUGGUUCUGCCUCGCCUCCUGCCACGUGUGUGGGCAGCCGCAGGGACUGUGUAUUAGGUUCUGACCAGACUAAUUUUAUUUAAUCCUUACUUUAUCUCGGAGGAUCGGGAUCACUGUCCCCAUUUUACAGAGGGUGAAACUGAGGCCACAGAGGCCGGUAUUUGUUUUCUCUGAGAGCAGCCUCUGGAGACAGAUAAGAGCAACAAACAGCACCAGUAACUCAGGCCGGGUGAGCCAAUAAGCAGAAAAAACUGGGAGCGCUGGGACAGUUGGGAAGGAAAAGUGGUCUCUGUGCCCCACAGUCAGUGGACUUUGGGGCCAGGAGCAUCUCCAGGGAGAAGGGAGUUGGAGACAGCAUCCCAGAGGAGCAAAUGGCUGGAGGCCUGGCUCUGAGGUGGAAUACUUAGAAAUCCAGCAGUUUGCAGGCCGCCUGCCUGACGGAAUGGAGCCCAGGGCCCGUGCAGAGAGUGGGAUGGGACCAUGAGCAGAGGGAUAGGGGGGCACCCCACAGGGCUCUUUUCAUCCCCCUCCAAGGACCCCACUUUCCCUUCAGGAUCUGCCCCAAGCUAACGUUAGCACUUCUUCAUUUGUAGCUAAGGACCACUCACUCCAAGGCCUCUGUGUUAUUGUUGGAAAAAGGUCCCUGCUAGGGCCUUUAUGGGUCGGUACUGGGAGGAUUCAACACCGGGCAGAGAUGGGACAAAUGACUUAGCAUCUAUUUUGUGCCAAGCCCUAAAGUAGGCCGUGAGGAUGAGGCCGACCCAAUCCCCCUUCCCCAGGAGCACUUGGGCUGAAGACUGUGCAGGCCAUCAUGCACAAGGUAGCUACUCAAUGAGAAAUGGGCCUUAGGACAGCAGGUGGCCAGAGGAGGCCCUCAGCCUCUGGGAGGACCCCCUAGCUAGAUUUCGAUAACCUGGCGGCCGGGCAGCUGACACAGACAGCCAUCCCAGUGGGAGAGGUAGCCCUGAGCUCUACCUCUGGCUGCCUUUCCAGGAGAAGACUCAGGUCCAGGAAGCAGCAGGGCCCUGCCAGGGGCCCAGCAGGAUGAACCAGGCCUCCCAACCUGGGCAGCCGUCUUCCUGCUGGAGGGCUGUAUCUGGGCAGGGCCGCAUGGUGGCCCCAUGAUGACCCUGAGCAGGGGCUUGGCUCCCAGCAGCUGUAAGGGCCUCUCAGUACUCCAGGUGACCUACCUCUAUAGCCCACAAAAUGGGCGUGAUGCUGUGAGCUCACCAUUUGCCAGCUGUCUGGAAUCGGACCAACCCAGCAGGCCUAUUCUCACAUCACAUGCUAGGGCUCGUGACACCAAACUGCAGGACUCUCUCAAGUGCUCUGGCUCCUUCUCCAAGGACAUGCAAAGUGCUACUCUGGGCUGCAGCCCUAGCUGAAACCUGAAUUUCUGGGGAGCUUCAGGAGAAGGGACGUCUUGGUGACAGUGGGAUAGCAGGCAGCGUGUUUGUGGUCCCCAGUACGUGGGGGUCUGUUUCAAGUGAGUGUCCUCUUUAUUCUUGUGAAAUGAAUAGGGAGGGGUCAAGAUAGUUCCCUGUUGGCAGAAACCCCCUGAUUUCAGGGAAGUUGAGAGACCUGUAUGCGCACAAGAUACUGAGCACCGAGAAGAGAACACGGGGCAGAGUCUCAGUAGCUCUCAGGGUCUUAGAUGGCAUGUGGCAGGAAAGACACUGAGUCUGGGUGCAGGUGGAUUCUACCACAAUGAAAACAGGACCUGAGAUUAUUGCUACGGGUGGACGGAUGAAUGGGGUGCCUGUGGAUGGAGGGCCUGCGGGGCCUCGCCCUGACCCUGUGGGGGUCCCGUGGCAUCCAAUCCAUUACACUGAAGAGAAACCGAGGUCCAGAGGGAAGAGUGCAUG